AGAGAGAUUUCUCCUGCUGGCCUUGAAGGUGCACACUGCCAUGCUGUGGAAGGGCCACGUGGCCGGGCACAGCAGGCAGGCUCUAGGAGCUACGGGAUUCAGCCAACAAAAGAGUAGGGGCCUCAGUCCUACAGCCACAGGUAGCAGAAUUCUGCCAACAAUCUGAGAGAGCUUGGGAGUGGAUAUCUCCCUAGCUGAGCUUCUGGACAACUCUUCUCAGCUCCCUUGCAGGACCAAAGAGCUGGCUUCAUGUUCCAGAUGAUGAAUGUACAAGAAGAUGGAGCCAUCAUCAUUCUGGAUCUUUGAGGACCACAUGGAAGACAGUUGCCCUGAAGAGUCUCUCAGGCCCCUUUUACUUUGUGUGGGUACAACCAUGGGGCUUUGCUUGAAGAUGCCUUCUCCAAAGAUAUGUGGACACCCCUCCAGGUGCCCUCAGUACCUGAUUCACAGCCUCCCUGCCCUAAGCCCUCUCAGUCUGGAAAAAAGCCCCAACACCACAUUCCUCACUUCCCUCUUCCAUCCCAAACUUUUUUGCUGACAUCCUGGUAAAGCAGUUCCAACUCAUCAAUGGGGCCACAGUGCAUACAAGCUCAGGGAUAUCUCACAAGUGACAGCACUUGACAGCUUAUAAAGUUUUUUGUGUCCGUUAUUUUAUCGAGUCCUCACAAAAAUCCUACAUCGCUGUUUAAGGAGAAGGGCACCCAGGUUCAGAGGAAGAGUCUAACUAAGGUAACAAGGAAUGGAAGCCAGGCCUCUCUGGUCACAAUGCACAUGGCCACUAUUACC
ensembl:lncRNA